rnacentral:rRNA from 1 species
GGUGUUGGAAUGGUCGGCAGAGUAACUGUUGCCGGCGUGACGGUAUCCAACCAGAAAGCCACGGCUAACUACGUGCCAGCAGCCGCGGUAAUACGUAGGUGGCAAGCGUUAUCCGGAUUUAUUGGGCGUAAAGCGAGCGCAGGCGGUUUUUUAAGUCUGAUGUGAAAGCCCUCGGCUUAACCGAGGAAGCGCAUCGGAAACUGGGAAACUUGAGUGCAGAAGAGGACAGUGGAACUCCAUGUGUAGCGGUGAAAUGCGUAGAUAUAUGGAAGAACACCAGUGGCGAAGGCGGCUGUCUGGUCUGUAACUGACGCUGAGGCUCGAAAGCAUGGGUAGCGAACAGGAUUAGAUACCCUGGUAGUCCAUGCCGUAAACGAUGAAUGCUAGGUGUUGGAGGGUUUCCGCCCUUCAGUGCCGCAGCUAACGCAUUAAGCAUUCCGCCUGGGGAGUACGACCGCAAGGUUGAAACUCAAAGGAAUUGACGGGGGCCCGCACAAGCGGUGGAGCAUGUGGUUUAAUUCGAAGCAACGCGAAGAACCUUACCAGGUCUUGACAUCUUUUGAUCACCUGAGAGAUCAGGUUUCCCCUUCGGGGGCAAAAUGACAGGUGGUGCAUGGUUGUCGUCAGCUCGUGUCGUGAGAUGUUGGGUUAAGUCCCGCAACGAGCGCAACCCUUAUGACUAGUUGCCAGCAUUUAGUUGGGCACUCUAGUAAGACUGCCAGUGACAAACCGGAGGAAGGUGGGGAUGACGUCAAAUCAUCAUGCCCCUUAUGACCUGGGCUACACACGUGCUACAAUGGAUGGUACAACGAGUUGCGAGACCGCGAGGUCAAGCUAAUCUCUUAAAGCCAUUCUCAGUUCGGACUGUAGGCUGCAACUCGCCUACACGAAGUCGGAAUCGCUAGUAAUCGCGGAUCAGCACGCCGCGGUGAAUACGUUCCCGGGCCUUGUACACACCGCCCGUCACACCAUGAGAGUUUGUAACACCCGAAGCCGGUGGCGUAACCCUUUUAGGGAGCGAGCCGUCUAAGGUGGGACAAAUGAUUAGGGUG